UUGCUGCGAUUCGCAAUUUCCCAUAUUGGUAAACCAAGGUUUUAUUUUAAAACUUAUAUUAUUUAUAAAAAUAAUUUCAAGAUUAUUUAGCGAACUGAAACAUCUCAGUAACUAAAAAAUAAAUCAACCGAGAUAGUGUUAGUAGUGGCGAGCGAACGCGUUGAUAAGCUAAAAAUUCAAAUUUUUUAACUUAAUUUUUGCAAAGUCAUAGAAGGUAAAAACCCUGUAAAGUUAAUAUUUAAAUUUAAAUUUUGAUAAAAGUAAAUUUGUUCAAGUCGUGAGCUGAUUGAAAAUUGGGAGACCACUCUCAAAGCUUAAAAGUUUUAAUGUUUGAUAGUGAACAAGUACUGUGAAGGAAAGGUGAAAAAGAAUUAAAGAAAUUGAAAAGAUAAAUGAAAUUUAAUGUUAACAAGCAGCCGUAGCUUAAAAAAGUGACGUCGUACCUUUUGUAUAAGUGAUCAACAAGUUUAUUUUAGUAGCGAGCUUAAGUAAAAAUUUAUGCAGGCGAAAAAAAAUUAAAUUUUAAAAUGUGUAAAGUUUCUAAAAUUAGACCCGAAACUAAGUGAUCUAACUAUGAGCAGGUUGAAUUUAACGUAGCAAUACUUAUUGAAGGACCGAACCCGUGUAUGCAAAUAAUACUGGGAUGACUUGUAGUUAGGGGUGAAAGGCCAAACAAACUUAGAGAUAGCUGGUUUUCUGCGAAAUCUAUUUAAGUAGAGCGUUUAAAAAUUCUUUAAUUUGAGGUAGAGCUCUCGAUAAGUAAAGGGGAUUUAUAAUCUUACUAAGUUUAUUGAAACUUCAAAUACAAAUUAAAUGGUUUUAAGCAGUCAGACUAUAGGUGCUAAGAUCUAUAGUCAAAAGGGAAACAGCCCAGACUAAUAGUUAAGGUUCUCAAAAGUAAUUAAGUGAAAAAAAUGUAAAAUAAUGUUGACAACCUAUAGGUAGGAUUAGAAGCAGCCAUCCUUAAAAAAAAGCGUAACAGCUUAUUGGUCUAGUUUUUUUGCGUUAAAAAUGUAAGGGAUCUAAAAUUACUUACCGAAACUGUAGAUUAAACUGUUUGCGUUUAAUGGUAGCAGAACGUCCUGUAAAUUAAAGAAAAAUUAUGGUUACAUAGUUUGGAAAAAUCAGGAGCGAUAAUGUUGAUAUAAGUAACGAUAAACAAUGUGUAAAACAUUGUCGUCUUAAGUCCUAGGUUUCCAAAACAAAGCUAAUCCGUUUUGGUAAAAGUUAAUCGGUCUCUAAGAAAAAAGCGAAAGCUUUAUAAUUGAUGAGUGUAAAAUGUAAUUUUUUAAUUGGUAUGAUGUGACAAAAUAAGAAUAUAAUUUUUAUUCAAUGGGUUAAAUAAAAGUUGUAUAUUAUUUUCAGGAAACAGCUAUACUAUUUUUAAACCGUACUUAAACCAACAAAGGUGGACAAAUUUAGUAAAUUAAGACGCUUGAGAUAAUUAUGGUGAAGGAACUCGGCAAAAUGACUCCGUAACUUCGGGAAAAGGAGUGGCUUUCUUAGGGCAACCUAUUAAAGCUGUCACAAAAUCGGGGAUAGCGACUGUUUAUUAAAAAGUGCGACAAGAGCUAAUUUGUAAAAAGACGUAUUGAGACUGACGCCUGCCCAGUGCUGCAAGAUUAAAAAGCGAAGUUUAUGUGCUUUGAUUAUAACUCCCAGUAAACGGCGGCUGUAACUCUGACGGUCCUAAGGUAGCGAAAUUCCUUGGCAUUUAAUUGAUGUCCCGCAUGAAUGGCGUAACGACUGUCCUACUGUCUCCACCAUAAUCUCAGUGAAAUUGAAUUCUCCGUGAAGAUGCGGAGUACCUACGGCUAGACGGAAAGACCCCGACACCUUUACUAUAGUUAUGCAUUGUUGUAAAAAUUUUAUCGUGUAGAAUAAGUGGAAGUUGAGCAAAACAAUUAAAUUGUUUAUAAGUAUGUUUUGGCGCAAGCAAACUGCAUAAACGUAAAUGAAAUACCACUCUUUAAAUUUUUUAUAACUAAAUUGAAUUGAAAAACCGUGUAUAGUGGGUAGUUUGACUGGGGCGGUCGCCUCCUAAAGAGUAACGGAGGCACGUAAAAGGUAAACUUGAGUUGAUUUAAAACCAAUUUGUAAGCGUAAUAGUUUAUGUUUGCUUGACUGUAAGAUUGAUAAAUCAAACAGGGACGAAAGUCGGUUAUAGUGAUCCGAUAACUCUAUGUGGAAAUGGUUAUCGCUCAAUGGAUAAAAGGUACGUCGGGGAUAACAGGCUAAUCAUUCUCUAGAGACCAUAUCGACGGAAUGGUUUGGCACCUCGAUGUUGGAUUAUCGCAUCCUGGAGCUGUAAGUGGUUCCAAGGGUUUAGCUGUUCGCUAAUGAAGGCGGUACAUGAUCUGAGUUUAGAACGUCGUGAGACAGUUUGGUCCCGUGCGAAGUGUUGUAUUUAUCUACCGUAGGUGUUAAAAACUGAAAAGAGUAGACCCUAGUACGAGAGGACCGGGAAAAGCGAAUCUCUGGUGAGUCGAUUGUUAUACCAAUAGCAUUGUCGAGUAGCUAAAUUCGUAAUAAAUAAUCGCUGAAAGCAUUUAAGUGAGAAAUUAGCUUUGAGACAAGUUUUUGUUGUUAAUGUAAUAGAUUAUUGCAUAGAUAGGUUUAAAAGUGCAAGAAUUGUAAAAUUUUUAGCUGAUAGAUACUAAACUAAAAAAUUUUACUAUUAAAAUUU
rnacentral:rRNA from 1 species